GAUGAAGAACGUAGCGAAAUGCGAUAAGUAAUGUGAAUUGCAGAACUCAGUGAAUCAUCGAGUCUUUGAACGCACAUUGCGCCCCCUGGUAUUCCGGGGGGCAUGCCUGUCCGAGCGUCAUUGCUGCCCUCAAGCACGGCUUGUGUGUUGGGCCUCCGUCCUCCUCCCGGGGGACGGGCCCGAAAGGCAGCGGCGGCACCGCGUCCGGUCCUCGAGCGUAUGGGGCUUCGUCACCCGCUCUUGUAGGCCCGGCCGGCGCUUGCCGACACAUCAAUCUUUUUUCCAGGUUGACAUCGGAUCAGGUAGGGAUACCCGCUGAACUUAAGCAUAUCAAUAAGCGGAGGA
rnacentral:misc_RNA from 1 species